CCGUGAUAAAGUAGCAUAAUCACUUGUCAUUUAAUUAAUGACUAGAAUGAAUGGUCAAACGAAUUUACACCUGUCUCUAAAAGAAAUUUAGCAAAAUUGAAUUAACAGUGAAGAUACUGUUUAUUAAUUGAAAGACGAAAAGACCCUAUUGAGCUUUACUGAAAGUUUAUAUAUCUAUAACAUUAAUAAAAAAAUAUAAUAUAAUAAUUUGUAAAUAAAUCAGUUUGGUUGGGGCGACCACCUCUAAAAAAGUACCAGAGGAAUUCUAAUGGCCUAAAUUUAAUAUAACUAGCCUUACUGAAAAUAUACAAAUUAACCAGUUAUUAAAGACGUAGGAUAUAUUGACCCGUUGAUUUAUAUGUAUUAAAUCAACGACUAUGAAAAAAGUUACCAUAGGGAUAACAGGGUAAUAUUUUCCAAGAGUUCAUAUCGAUGAAAAU
rnacentral:rRNA from 1 species